rnacentral:rRNA from 1 species
CCUACGGGAGGCAGCAGUGAGGAAUAUUGGUCAAUGGGCGCGAGCCUGAACCAGCCAAGUAGCGUGAAGGAUGACUGCCCUACGGGUUGUAAACUUCUUUUAUAAAGGAAUAAAGUGAGGCACGUGUGCCUUUUUGCAUGUACUUUAUGAAUAAGGAUCGGCUAACUCCGUGCCAGCAGCCGCGGUAAUACGGAGGAUCCGAGCGUUAUCCGGAGUUAGUGGGUUUAAAGGGAGCGUAGAUGGGUUGUUAAGUCAGUUGUGAAAGUUUGCGGCUCAACCGUAAAAUUUCAAUUGAGACUUGCAGUCUUGAGUACAGUUGCGGUAGGCGUCAUUCGUGGUGUAGC